UACGUAGGGUGCAAGCGUUAUCCGGAAUUAUUGGGCGUAAAGAGCUUGUAGGCGGUUUGUCGCGUCUGCCGUGAAAGCCCAGGGCUUAACCCUGGGUCUGCGGUGGGUACGGGCAGACUAGAGUGUGGUAGGGGAGACUGGAAUUCCUGGUGUAGCGGUGAAAUGCGCAGAUAUCAGGAGGAACACCGAUGGCGAAGGCAGGUCUCUGGGCCACUACUGACGCUGAGAAGCGAAAGCAUGGGGAGCAAACAGG
rnacentral:rRNA from 1 species